GCCAGAGUGUCGGAACUGGUAGACGAGACGGACUCAAAAUCCGUUGCAGUAGCCCUGCGUGUGGGUUCGAGUCCCACCUCUGGUACCA
rnacentral:tRNA from 1 species